GUGGGGAAUCUUCCGCAAUGGACGAAAGUCUGACGGAGCAACGCCGCGUGAGUGAUGAAGGUCUUCGGAUUGUAAAGCUCUGUUAAUCGGGACGAAAGAGCCUAGUGUGAAUAAUGCUAGGAAGUGACGGUACCGGAAUAGAAAGCCACGGCUAACUACGUGCCAGCAGCCGCGGUAAUACGUAGGUGGCAAGCGUUGUCCGGAAUUAUUGGGCGUAAAGCGCGCGUAGGCGGAUCUGCCAGUCUGUCUUAAAAGUUCGGGGCUUAACCCCGUGAUGGGAUGGAAACUACAGAUCUAGAGUAUCGGAGAGGAAAGUGGAAUUCCUAGUGUAGCGGUGAAAUGCGUAGAUAUUAGGAAGAACACCAGUGGCGAAGGCGACUUUCUGGACGAAAACUGACGCUGAGGCGCGAAAGCCAGGGGAGCGAACGGGAUUAGAAACCCUGGUAGUCC
rnacentral:rRNA from 1 species